UUGUGACUUGGAACGCACGUGCGUUUAACUGAUAACGAAUAAUUUUGUUCUAAAAAAACAAUCAUUAGCCAUACCACCCUCCAGCUAUGCGUAGCUAUUUUAAGCGGAUCAUUCGCAUAUUGUGUAAGACUUACCUCCGAACUUUCUUACGAAAUAGACCAUGGCUUGGUGUGUUGUUAAUUUUAUGAACGAUAAUUCAGUGGAAGAUUUUCCCGACUUUUGGUUUAAUCACAAAACUGGAACGUGUGCCUGCCAACUAACCGCUUAAAUAACAGUCAGUUAUUGAAAAAAGGAGAAUAUCUAAUAGAAAAAAAUUUUAAUAUUUCAAAGCCAGAGUUUUCUCUAGUUGUGAACACAUCGUGAUCUAAUUUGAUUUAGUUAAUUUUUUGGAUGCAAGAGAUAAAUGUAGGCUUGCUGAAGAUACAUCUGAUUUAGAUGGAUUGUCAUCUAAACGAAAAAAGUAAAAAAAAAAUUUAAUUCUAAUCGGUCUGAGAGGUCUACUCCUAAUUCAUCACCUGAACUUGCUGAUCUAAAAAUUGAAAGUGAUUGUCCUUUAUUUUCUUCUGAAUCUGAUGACGCUAAUUCACCAAAUCGGUAUAAUUUUUCACCUCCCAAUAAAAGAUUAGUCACAUCAAAAAUAUCAUGCACCUCAUAUUCUAAAAAUUUGAAAACAUAACUGAAUCUUCAAAAAAACGCUAUCAUUUACAAUCUAAUAAUAAUUUUUCUGUAUCACCAUCAGCAUUAUCAUACAGCUCAAAAUCUACAAAAUCUAAGAAAAUAAAUGAUUCACCACGAAGUUGCAAUUAUUUAUGUGCUAAAAAAUGUUUAAUUUUUCUACCAUAUAUAGAAAAUAAUUGUUCAAGUAGCCCAAGAGAUAAUUUUUGUUGUAUCUUAAGAAAUUUUAAUUCUGUUUGAACUAAAAAAAUUUAUAGAUGGCACUUUAUCUACUCAAAAACUUGUUUAAUCACAGCUCAUCAGAAAUUGACCAAUUAAAUAAGUAAAACAUGAGACCCUUGAGCUUAGAGUGCUGAAAUUGAGGUUUGGGUGCUAUAACACAAUCUAUUGCUCUUGUAGUUUAAACACUGAGCAUACCUAUUUGAUUUUGGAAUAAGACAGUUAUAUUCUUUUUUUUUGGGAGCACUCUUGGCUAAAGAGGUUUUGAUAUAAUUUCUUGAACAUCAAUUGUAUUACUGUCAAUUUAUUUUUACUAGUUACUUUUUAUUUAAGUAGAUUUAUACAUUUUUUAAAAUUUAGAUUAUUUAUUUUAUUCAAUGACAUAUUAUAUAUUUUUAAUAUUUAAUAUAUGUAAGUAUAUUUUUUUGUGUAAGAGUAGCUUUUCAAAGUAAAAUGUUUAAAACCCAACUUUUCAUUAAAUAUGAAAUUAAAUCAAUAAAUGAAAAAUUGGACAUUUUGUUACAAAAUUUUGAAAGGUUAGAAAAUUUGAAGGUACUUACCAUUUCAGAAAAUAGUUCCACAACUGAUUAUUCAGCUAUGAAUUAUAUCUUCCCUAUUGAAUUGGAGACUGAUUUAGAAAGUGUGAAUGAGCAAAUUUUAUCAGAUUCUGCUUACCAAAAAAAACUGAUUAAAGAACUUUCAUUAUUGGGUAGAGGUAAUGUAAGAAAAAUAUUAAAACGGAUAAUGACUAAACUAUUCAGUGAUUAAGUAUUGCAGCAUUACUAAUAUGUUGGUAGAGGUAUAAAAGGGAAAAAAAAUUUUAGCCAGUUACCAAUUUUUAAGGUUGUAUUUGGUAAGCAAUAACUUGUCUGACUUUUUAA